GACGAACGCUGGCGGCGUGCCUAAUACAUGCAAGUAGAACGCUGAGGUUUGGUGUUUACACUAGACUGAUGAGUUGCGAACGGGUGAGUAACGCGUAGGUAACCUGCCUCAUAGCGGGGGAUAACUAUUGGAAACGAUAGCUAAUACCACAUAAGAGUAAUUAACACAUGUUAGUUAUUUAAAAGGAGCAAUUGCUUCACUGUGAGAUGGACCUGCGUUGUAUUAGCUAGUUGGUGAGGUAAAGGCUCACCAAGGCGACGAUACAUAGCCGACCUGAGAGGGUGAUCGGCCACACUGGGACUGAGACACGGCCCAGACUCCUACGGGAGGCAGCAGUAGGGAAUCUUCGGCAAUGGACGGAAGUCUGACCGAGCAACGCCGCGUGAGUGAAGAAGGUUUUCGGAUCGUAAAGCUCUGUUGUUAGAGAAGAACGUUGGUAGGAGUGGAAAAUCUACCAAGUGACGGUAACUAACCAGAAAGGGACGGCUAACUACGUGCCAGCAGCCGCGGUAAUACGUAGGUCCCGAGCGUUGUCCGGAUUUAUUGGGCGUAAAGCGAGCGCAGGCGGUUCUUUAAGUCUGAAGUUAAAGGCAGUGGCUUAACCAUUGUACGCUUUGGAAACUGGAGGACUUGAGUGCGGAAGGGGAGAGUGGAAUUCCAUGUGUAGCGGUGAAAUGCGUAGAUAUAUGGAGGAACACCGGUGGCGAAAGCGGCUCUCUGGUCUGUAACUGACGCUGAGGCUCGAAAGCGUGGGGAGCAAACA
rnacentral:rRNA from 1 species